AUUGAACGCUGGCGGCGUGCUUAACACAUGCAAGUCGUGCGGUAACAGGCGUAGCAAUACGUGCUGACGAGCGGCGAACGGGUGCGUAAUACAUGGGAAUCUGCCUUUUAGUGGGGAAUAGCCCGGCGAAAGCCGGGCUAAUGCCGCAUAAGAUCUUCGGAUGAAAGCGGGGGAUCGUAAGACCUCGCGCUGAUAGAUGAGCCCAUGCCGGAUUAGCAGUUGGUGAGGUAACGGCUCACCAAGGCGACGAUCCGUAGCUGGUCUGAGAGGACGGCCAGCCACACUGGGACUGAGACACGGCCCAGACUCCUACGGGAGCAGCAGUGGGGAAUAUUGGACAAUGGGCGCAAGCCUGAUCCAGCCAUGCCGCGUGAGUGACGAAGGUCUUCGGAUUGUAAAGCUCUUUUGCCAGGG
rnacentral:rRNA from 1 species